rnacentral:rRNA from 1 species
CUGCUGCCUUCCGUAGGAGUCUGGGCCGUGUCUCAGUCCCAGUGCGGCCGUCCACCCUCUCAGGCCGGCUGCUGAUCGUCGCUUUGGUGGGCCGUUACCCCGCCAACUGGCUAAUCAGACGCGGGCCCAUCCUGUACCACCGGAGUUUUCAAAGGAUUACCAUGCGGUAUUCCCUAUUAUGCGGUAUUAGCACCUAUUUCUAAGUGUUAUCCCCCGGUACAGGGCAGGUUGCCCACGCGUUACUCACCCGUCCGCCACUAAGACAGA